UCGAAACUAGAUUUCGGCAAUAAUAAAAGGGGGUGGCUAUCAAGCUGGAGAAGUGUAUGGGUUUGGAGACAAAAGAUUUAUACAGGUUCAGGCCUUCUUAUUCAAGAAGUAAUACCCUACUCCUGUCCGGGGAUGAAUCCGCCGAGUGUCUUAUUGAUUGUAUGAUUUGGAGAAAGUCAACAUAUGCCCCUAGAGGCACCCGGACCCUCCUUAUAUAUGGGAAGGAGUCCAUAUUACAAAAGAUAAUCUAUAUCCCUAACGGAAUAUGUAGAUACAGAUAAAAUACAGUCGUAACCGACUAAGUCUCAAGGUAUUUCCUUGAUGUACAAGUUGAGAAACAAACCCGAGAUACAAAUAAGAUAUUCUAUCUAUAUUCGGUAUCCUAUAUUCAGUCCAAAUAUCAUCGCCGUGUAGAUAUGGGAUAUCCAUAAUCUCCACAGUAGCCCCCGAGACCUUUGCAGUCAACCAUCAAGGCCUUCUCAAAGAUAAUAAUCCGAGUGCUUCAAACUUUUCAUUCCAAGGCCUGCCGAGUAGCGGAGACGAAGACUGUAAAGGGCGAAAAGAUAAAGAAUAUGGUGCAUCGAAUAGAUGCACCUAAUUAGGUGUAGCCCCCAACUAUGUGAUUAGUUAACAAACUAAACAUAUAGUUGAGAACAAAAUAAUAGCGCAAUCGUGCAUCAUAUGACAAAAGCAUACGCGGCGCCUAAAGAGGCAUUCUAGCCGACUGCUUUUUAACCAUAAUAAAAGGAAUCCAAGUGGUUAACACUCUAAAAGGUUCACGAAUGAACACACUUGACAGGCAUCCGAAUAGAAAACUCUAAAGAUUACCCACCAAAUAUUAUAAAAAUUAUGGUAAUGAAUAAGUCUAAUAGCCUAGGCUAUGACUAUUUACCAUAAUGAAAACAGGCAUAUAACAUACCAAGGAAAUGGCUAUGGUAAAAACAAGUCAUUCCAAGUUAACCCAGACAGCUUUUGUAGCCUAAAAAAGCUUACAAAAACAGCAUAACACCUUUCUGUCGGGCACCUUUUAAUUUGCAUUGCAAUAAUUCCAAAGAAUUAUAUGACCGCAUAAAAAGGAUUUUAUCAGCAUUGGGCAACACUAUUGUGCGCAUAAAUUGCCAAAGCAAAAAAUGCCUAAGUCCCUAAGGAGCACAAUGGGCCACGCUGUUUAAAGUACUGGGCUGAGGUACUGUUCAGGCCUAAGCCCAUUUGCACCUCCGAUACCCUUAACAAGAAAUCCUGAGAUCCAAACGACACUUCAUCUUCCCCGCCGGAACUCUCGCCAUUUUCCCCACUCCCUGCUACAGUACAGAGCUGCGCCGGCAAACUAGGGUUCACCAUUCCACUCGAAUCCACCUUCGAAAAGUUCAUCAAAAUCCUUCCCGUGAUCCACCGCCUCAAUCCCUCACUUCUCCCUAGCCAUCCCUCGAAUCAAAUCAGCGCAUUCGGGUAAAAUCAAUGGCGGAAGAGAAGGAAAGCUUUGAAGGCCAAUGGGCGCCAUCCGACGUGACGGAGGAGAACCUGAAGGAGAUGGUGGCGCACGGCGUUCUCCCUGCCAAGGAGAUCAUCAGGUGGCGGCCAGCGUGCGGUGAGGCUUUUCCGACCCCCGAUACACACGAGGCUGUGGUCUUCUCCCAUUUCUUCUAUGGCGGCUUCGCUCUUCCGACCUCAAAAUUUUUCCGCGGGAUAUUAAGCUUCUAUGGAAUCAGCUUGCAUCACCUAAACCCAAAUUCCAUAGUCCACAUCGCCAAUUUCGUCCAUGUUUGUGAAGCCUUCUUGGGAAUUAAGCCCCACUUCGCUCUGUUUCGCCGAAUCUUCUUUCUCAAACCCCAACCGAACAAGAGUAAGCCAUGUGUAGUCGGAGGGGCCGGAUUUCAGCUGAGGGGGACUCUGAGCCAGAAGUACUUCUCUAUGCCCUUCAAGACCUCAAACAAAGGGUGGCAUGCAAGCUGGUUUUAUAUUCAGAAUCCUGAGCCUGCUCUUCCCGAGUACUCUUGUCUUCCUCCGGUGUACCAAGAUACCUGGAAUUCUCUUCCGAUUGGGGAUGAAGCAGCCCAAGCCUUGGAAUUGAUGGAUCGCAUGCUAAAACUCAAAGAACAAGGCUUACAAGGAGAGCAGAUUACUCGGCACUUCAUCAAAUGCCGAUUGGCACCAAUUAAAGAAAGAUCCCGUACGGCAUUCGAGUUUGACGGCAAGCAUGAUCCUAAUCGUGAAGAACCAGAUUCUCUGGAUUUUAAAAUCAUGAAGGAGAGAAUGUACAAAAUCUUCUCAAAUGCUAUUGUCGUCAACUACUCACAUCAGCUGCCAGUUGUGCCAUAUAACGCAUUCAAUCCACCUCCGCAGGUAUGUAUCUGAAACCUUCAACCCAUGACCAAAACAUAAUCUUGUCUUCAUGUUGAGUUAACUAACUGUGGAGGCAUCUCAUUCAGGAAUAUGUAUUGAUGAAGUCUGACCCCCCAAUCACUCAGCGCCGGUCUCCUCACCAGCACACCGUUCAGGGAGGUGAAGGGCCAACAAUCAGAUCAGAUCCGCAACCUCAAACCUCCAAUCCGGCUGGGUAGACAGGUUCUCGCAAGAGAAAGCUGGUGCUUAACGACGACGAAGGCGACGACGGCAACAAAUCUGGGAACAAAGGCUUGCCCAAUAAACUCCCAAAGCAUACCACUCCCAGGAAAAAACUGGCUAGCCGUCCAAUGCCAAAGAUUAGAACAUCUUCCAGGUAUAAACCUCUCGGUACCAUUUCACUUCGGCAUGCUUCUCUCAUGAAAACAAUACUGAAUAUUGAAAGAACACUUUGCAGGAAACCAUCCGACAUAGAUCCAACUGGAAAAGAUCCUGAUCCGGCUGUGACAGAGCCAAGUUCAUCCAAGGAUUCUGAGCCGACUGCCGAAAGCCAGCCGACUGGCGCCCAUACUUCAGGUGACAAGGCCGAUCCGAGUGACCAGCCUCCGACUGGAAACCAGUCGGCAGCAACUGAAACUACAACAACCCAAGAGCCCCCGGCUGGAAACCAGUCGGAUGUAGGUCCAGAUCAAGAAAUUCCCGAAGUUGAAGUGCGGACGACAACUUCUCAAGGACCAGAGGCUGGUAACGACUCGAUGAUUGGGUCUCCAAAUAAAGAACAAGGAUCACCUCACGCUCAGCUAGGAACAUCCUCAGGUAACUCAUCUUCUCAAGUGAUGCCGAUUUGAAUAACUCCAGCUUAUUCGUCUAAUGUCUUGGAAAUACAUCAGGACCACCAGGCGAUGACGAAGAAGAAAUUCCUCGCAUAAAGGCGGCUGAUGACUCUCGUCCUCCUAUCUUACUCAAAUGGUGGGACGAGAACUUACAAGCUGCCGGCAUCGUCAUAAAUCGUCAAAAAGAAGAUGAGGAAGUGUGCCAGCUGAAGAAGGCACUUGGAGAAGCCACUCGCAUUGUGAAUGUAAAUCUUCCGGGUGACCGCCUUUGAUGACUUUGUUUUCUCUUCAGCAAAACUAAACCAUGAACCAUCAUGCAGAGAAUCCAUCUUCGCAAUGAGGCCAAGACCGCAACUUUAGAAAAGCCGGUUCCUCAUUUGGGAACUCUUGAAGCAGUUAGGGACCAGCUACACGAGGCCAAGGAGCUCGCCAAAAAGACAGAGAAGGAAUUAAGGGACCAAAUUGCUCAGCUCCAGGAUUCAAACUUCGAGCUGAGUGGUUCAUCAAAAGGUAAUCUCUAGAUCUGUCCCAUUAAUUUAUGCUGUCGUAACUGUAUCCUCAACCAUUUGGAUUUCAAACAGCGCAAGCCGCCAGGAUGGCUCAAAUGGAGAAACAAAUUGAAGCCCUGGAAAGAGACAAGGUAGAACUAGCUGCGCAAAGGGACUCGGCCUUGAAGGAGGUUGAAGGUACUGCCAGCUGACAAUCUGAACUUCUCUCUUUUCAAUGCAGCAGAUUUUUAUCAUAAAUGUGUUUUGUAGACCGCAAAAUCAAAUCUCAAGCUCAAUUUGACGUCCUGGUUGGUAAGAUCAAGAGGCUUGAAGGAGCAAGAGAUGAAGUCGCUAAUGUCGCUACACCACUCGUCCAAGCUAUGUUCCUCAAUAACAGUGGUCCGAGUGCACUCGACGCAACCGAAGUCUUCGACAAGCUGAGAGUUGCUCCGGAUGUAUAUUUCAAGAAUAUCAAGAAAGCUGGAAGUAUGGGAGCUAGCACGGCAUUGGCGAUGACCAAAUCCUUGUACCCGAGGAUUGAAAUUGACGCCAUUGAUGGCUUUGCAGACGGGACAAGCGUAGGGGCUGCUCUUGAUCUUAUCAGCAAUGCUCAAAACACGGCUGACAAGAUUGCAAGUGACGUUGUAGAUCAAUUCCGCAAUACCAACCUUCAGCCGAGUAGUAAUAACUCUGAUGAUGAAAAGACUGAUUCUGACUGAGUAUAAAUGUAGCAAAUGGAGGCAUAACUUGUACAAUACUGGUGUAUUUAUGCUGUGCUUGAUAAUUCUAGCCAAGUCUUUGAUUUCUUAAAAGCUUUUAUCAAGCUUUGUUGAGCCUAAAACCCAAAGAAGCUAUUAAAAACUUUCAGUCCUCGCAGACUAAGUAGAAAAAUCAAGCAAGGCAAUGAUAGACCAAGUAAGCAAAUUGAAUUGAUAAAAAAUCACACUCCGUUAUUAUGAUGAUAGCCCCCGACUGACAACUUCAAGAAGAACACUUGAUGUUGACAGUCAAGAUAGGGAAGUACAAUGAUAAGCUUAAGCGUAGAAACGACGAAGAUGUUCAAUGUUCCAAGAGUUGUCGACGAGUGUACCGUCUUCGCGCUUGAGUCGAUAGGAACCUGGUCGGGUGACUUCAGAGAUGAUAAAUGGCCCUUCCCAUAGAGGAGAUAACUUGUGCCGAUCUCGUGUAGUUUGAAUUUUCCUCAAAACCAGGUCGCCGACUAGAAAGGCACGGGAUCGAACAUUGCGAUUAUGAUAACGUCGCAACCCUUGUAAGUAUCGAGCCGACUAAAUCAAAGCUGCUUCGCGGACUUCUUCCAAUUGGUGCAAGUCAUCCACUCGGUCCUCUUCGUAACGUUCUUCGCGGAAAUUACGAAAGCGCAAAGACUCGAAUUCGACUUCACUCGGCAACAUUGCUUCUGCCCCAUAGACAAGGAAAAAAGGUGACUGGCCUGUGGCCCGACUGGGUGUAGUACGCAAAGACCAAAGUACUGAUGGCAGCUGUUCCACCCAUUUGCCGGCAUAGGGUUUUAGCCGGUCAAAAACACGCGCUUUAAUCCCUUGAAGUAUCAUGCCAUUGGCUCGCUCCACCUGUCCAUUGCUCAUGGGAUGCGCCACUGAGGCAUAGCAAAUCUUAAUUCCAAAGUCUUCACAAAAGUCUUUAAAAACUCCGCCAGUGAAUUGUCUGCCAUUAUCAGUGAUGAUCCGAUUGGGCACUCCAAAUCUAUGCACAAUGUUGAUGAAGAAGUCUCGAGCGUUAUCUGCUGUGAUUGUGACAACCGGUUUAGCUUCAAUCCACUUGGAGAAUUUGUCAAUGGCCACAAAGAGGUGCGUGAAACCGCCGACUGCCUUUUUAAACGGGCCAACCAUGUCGAGCCCCCAAACCGCAAACGGCCAAGACAGUGGGAUGGUCUGCAACUCUUGAGCUGGUAGAUGAAUUUGUCUGGCGAAAAAUUGGCAACCUUCGCACGUGCGCACAAUUUUGUCGGCGUCGGACACUGCAGCAGGCCAAAAAAAACCCUGCCGGUAAGCUUUGCCGAUAAUGGUGCGUGCGGCAGCAUGGUUUCCGCAUAUCCCAGAAUGUAUGUCUUUCAGCAAUUGUCUCCCUUCCUCUAAAGAUACGCAGCGUUGCAGAAUCCCUGAAGGGCUUUUCUUGUACAACUCAGCUUCAUGCAUAACAUAAAGUUUGCUCCGCCUUGAAAUCCGCUCGGCUUCAUCUUUGUCUUGGGGGAGUUCUUGAGAAGUCAAAAAUCGUAUGAGGGGCUCUCGCCAGUCGGCUUCAACCAUAGCUACGUCAUGAGUGCCCGCAACUUGAGUAGUAUCUUUGUGAGGUACUGUCGGCGUAUAAAGGUGUUCGACGAAAACAUCAGAGGGCGCCCCCUCGCGCUUGGAUCCAAAGUUGGCAAGUCUGUCGGCGGCUUCAUUAUUGUGUCGAAGAACGUGACUGAGCUCGAGUCCAUCGAACUUGUCUUCCAAUUUGCGUACCUCUUGUCGAUAUGCCGUCAUGUUGUCGUCAAGGCAGGACCACUCUUUCAUAACUUGGUUGACGACCAGCUGUGAAUCGCCUCGAACUAUUAGACGCUUUAUCCCUAGGGAGAUUGCAAUCCGCAGUCCAUGAAGGAGCGCCUCAUACUCAGCGACGUUGUGGGACGCCGAAAAAUGUAUCCAAAGCACAUAGCUUAAUCUUUCUCCAGUUGGGGAAAUUAAAACCACUCCUGCUCCAGUGCCCGAAAGUCGUUUUGAUCCGUCGAAAUGCAUGGUCCAGUGCUCCAUCUUCUCCGCGGGGGUAUCCUCCUGGCACUCGGUCCAUUCGGCGACAAAAUCAGCUAACGCUUGGGACUUGAUUGAAAUUCGGGGCUUGAAUGAUAUGUCCAAAGACAUCAACUCCAAAGCCCACUUAGCAAUCCGUCCGUUUGCUUCGCGGUUGUGCAGUAUAUCACCGAGUGGAAAUGAUGUGACCACCGUUACCGAGUGACCUUGAAAGUAGUGAGAUAGCUUCCUGGUAGUAAUUAGAAUACCAUAUAACAGCUUCUGAACCUGAGGGUACCUCGUUUUGGAGUCGGCUAGGACCUCGCUGACAAAGUAAAUCGGUCGCUGGACUUUCUGGACAUGGCCUUCUUUCUCGCGCUCAACGACCAAGACUGUGCUCACAACCUGGGAGGUGGCUGAUACAUACAGCAACAACGGCUCCUGCGGGUGUGGUGAGGCUAAGACCGGUGGCUCGGUGAGGAGUUUCUUGAAAUCUUCGAAGGCCUUCUGUGCUUCGGGUCCCCACUGGAAAUCAUCUGUUUUCUUCAGUAGCUUAAAGAAGGGCAUCCCCCGCUCGCCAAGUCUUGAAACAAAUCGGCUGAGCGCCGCCAUGCAUCCAGUCAGCUUCUGAACAUCUUUCUGGGUACUUGGCGGUUUCAUGUUGAGGAUAGCAGUAACUUUCUCCGGGUUGGCUUGGAUGCCCCUAUGAGACACCAUAAAACCAAGCAGCUUCCCUGACGGUACUCCGAAGGUGCACUUUUCAGGGUUUAAUUUCAUCCUGAAAGCGUGGAUGCUCGCGAAGGUUUCUUCUAGAUCCGAGAUCAAAUCAUCCUUUUGCUUGGUCUUGACAACUACAUCAUCCACAUAGGCUUCAACGUUGCGGCCGAUCUGCGUUGAGAAGCAUCUCUGGAUCAUACGUUGAUAAGUUGCUCCUGCGUUUUUUAGUCCGAACGACAUGGUGACAUAGCAGUAUGCUCCAAAGGGCGUGAUGAAUGAAGUCUUCAAGCAGUCGGAUUCCUUCAGUCGGAUCUGAUGAUACCCCGAGUAGCAAUCCAAAAAACUGAGAAGCUCACAGCCGGCGGUCGAGUCGACUACCUGGUCAAUGCGAGGCAACCCAAAAGGAUCUUUAGGGCAAGAUUUGUUGAGGUCAGUAUAAUCAACACACAUGCGCCAUUGCCCUGUUUUCUUCCGAACUAGAACCGGGUUUGCCAGCCAGUCGGGAUGAUGGACUUCUUUGAUGAAGCCUGCCGCUAACAGCUUGGUUAAUUCCUCCUUGAUCGCGUCCUUCCUGUCUUGUGCGAAUCGGCGGAGUCGUUGUUUGAUAGGCUUGGCAUCUUCUUUGACAUGUAAGGAGUGCUCAAUCACCUCUCUAGGAAUACCGGGCAUAUCAGAUGGUUUCCACGCAAAGAUAUCUUUAUUGUUCUGAAGAAAGGUGAUGAGCGCGCUUUCCUAUUUACAAUCUAACUCGGCGCCUAUUACAGCAGUUUUAGUAGGAUCAGAAGGAUCUAGGGGAAUCUUCUUAGUCUUGGCUUCGCUUUCUCCACUUUUUGAAGUCUUGGUAACGGGCACUUCUCCUUCGCUCGCCGUGGCAGCAGCCAGUUGGAUAUCCUCUCGGGCAGACGCCAUCUCGCGGGUUUGGGCCAUGUCGCAACUCUCCUUGUCGCAUGUGACGGCUUGCUUGAUGUCGCUCCGUAGGGAUAGGACUCCUCGGGGACCAGGCAUCUUCAUCAUCAUGUAAGUGUAGUGCGGGACGGCCAUGAACUUGGCUAACGCCGGGCGUCCGAGUAUGGCAUGGUAUGUUGUCUCGAAAUCGGCGACUUCAAAGCUGAUAUUCUCUGUGCGGAAGUUUUCCCGAGUGCCAAAAGUGACCGGGAGGGUGAUCUGGCAGAGUGGAGUUGCGGAUAAUCCUGGAAUUACUCCGUGAAAAGGCGCAUUGCUUGGUUUUAGCUCGGAGCGAGGAAUCUGCAUAUCAUCCAAGGUCUUGGCGAAGAGGAUAUUGAGAGCACUGCCACCGUCGAUGAGGGUUCUGCGAAGCUUGACAUUACGGACCACUGGGUCUAGUACCAGGGGGUACCGCCCCGGGUGGACCACUCGGUCAGGAUGAUCCGAGCGGUCAAACUUGAUUGCAAUCUCUGACCAUCGAAGAUACUGGGGCGUGUCGGGCUGAACAGCAUUGAUCUCCCGUUCGGUCAACUUUCGCUUCCUUUUAGACUCAUAAGCCAGGGGGCCGCCGAAGAUAUGGUUGAGCUCCUUGCGGUGGUCUUGAAAUCCUGCCGGGGUGUCGCCGUCGUCCUUCUUCCUCGACGUGCUGUGUUCUUCGUCGGAGUUCUUCCGUGUAGUCUUGGUGUAUUGCUCCGCAAACUGCUUGUAGACGAAACAAUCUUUGGCCACGUGGUUGGAGUUAGGAUGGUGCGGGCAUUGGGGGUUCAUGAUCUUGUCGAACGUGUUGACGCGCGAACGCUGUCGAGAAGAGUGAGUGGCGGUUGCAACAAGUUCCUCAGGCUUACGCUUGCGGUCCUUAUGAUUGUUACUUCCACCUCCUCCCGUAGCCGGCGUACCCUUGUUUGGCUUCCAACUGGGACCCGACUGCUUUGAUGCGGUGACGGCGUCUUCAGCUUUGGCGUACUCGUUGGCUUUUUCAAACAUAAGCUUGACUGUCCUGGGAGGCUUACGCCCGAACUUGCCGACCAAUUCUUCGUGGCGAAUCCCUUUGGUGAAUGCGGCGAUGAUAACGUCGUCGGUGAUGUCGGAGAUCUUGUUACGUUGUUCAGAAAAUCGCCGGAUGUAAUCUCGAAGGGAUUCUCCGGACUUCUGAACAACGUUGUAGAGGUCGAAUUGUGUGCCGGGACGCUCGAAGGUGCCUUGGAAGUUGGCGAUGAAGUGGUCGCGUAAUUCGGCCCAAGAUCCAAUUGUACCACGGGGCAAUCCAUGGAGCCAAGAUCGGGCGGAAUCCGCUAAAGCCACUGGUAAAUAGUUCGCCAUGGCCUUGCUGUCUCCUCCUGCUGCGCGGAUUGCGAGACCGUAGACGGUAAGCCACGAUUCUGGGUUAGUGGUACCGUCGUACUUCUCUAUUCCAGUCGGCUUGAAGCCGGCUGGCCAAUCCACUCGACGCAGGUUGUCGGUGAAGGCUGCUACUCCGUCAAGGUCGUCGUCGUGGCGGUCCGGCGAAUGAUGAUGGCCUCGAGCUGCUCGGCGCUGUAUGAUUGUGUCGCGAAGAUCGACGGGGCGGCGACGAGGUGGUGAGCGAGGCCGUUCCACUCGGCGCUCCCUAUGAUGGUCGGGAGGUGAGUGAACGGACCGCUCGUCGUGACCCCUGCUCCUGCGAUUGGAUCCUGCGCCGGUGAUGCUGAGGCUUGGAUGACGGUAGUCAUGAGAUCGGAAGUGGGGGACUCGGCUGCCAGUCGGCGUGCGGACGCUUUCGGAGUUAACUGGGACCGAAGCCGCAAUCAUGGUCUUCGUCUGGUUCAAGAUGUUGUCGACGUGAUCAGAUUGAUUGAGCUCGUUUUCCUUGAGGAGGGUGUCGAGGAGGGUGAUCGCGGCAACCGCAUUCUGUUGAGGGGUGCGGAAAACCGGUGUCCCUUCAACAUCUUGUUGGCCGAUGAAAUCACGCGCUCGGCGCCCUGCUUCCAAGGCUCGCUGCCGUCGAUCCUCAGCCUCCUUCGCGGUCCGCUCACGCUCCUGCUGCUCACGCCGUAGCCGUUCUUGUUCUUGUGCUUGACGCUCCUCCUCCAGUCGGCGACGCUCAGUCUCGCGACGUGCUUCGGUUUCCCGGGCUUGGCGUUGCUCCUCCGUCUCGUUAUCGGCCAUGAAGACGCCGAAGUAGAGAGGGGUGUAGUUGUCAUCUAGGCUUCCGUCGAAGUCGUCGAGAUCCGGGUCGUUGUAGCGAGAGCUAAACUUGUCGUACUCCACGAUGUUGGUGGGACGCGAGUCGACGGUGGGAGAGCUGUAGUAGCCAUCCAGCUGAUCCGUCGAAACCGUGCCGAGUGGUUGGAGGAUGACGCCGACUUCCCUGAAGCUAGGCGAAAUCGGUGUUGAAGCCGACUUCCGCCUAGGCCUACGGGAUGGAGACGCUGUCGUGAUGGAGACGGCCGCUAAAUCGUCGGGGAGCUUCAUCAGGAUUGGUGGGUAAGCCCCAUCAUCUUGAUCCGGUGUCGUUGGAGAAGAUGCGAUCUCGCCCGAGUGGUUUGAAGCAAACUCGAUUGAGAUGGUCUUGAAGUAACUUUCAGCCGCGUUUGGGAGUCCAAACGGGACUGAAAUACGGUUCUCUCCCGACUGGUCUGACUCCGAGUCAAGGAGAGAGAUCUUGCCGAAGUUGUUGGUGACGAAGUCGAGGCUGCCGAACCGAAACGUCUGCCCGGGUGGGAAGACGAGGUCGUCGAUGCCGGAGACGGAACCCAUUACACUGAUCGGCGAAAAGCUUGACGCAACCCCUACCUGGCGCGCCAACUGUCGAAACUAGAUUUCGGCAAUAAUAAAAGGGGGUGGCUAUCAAGCUGGAGAAGUGUAUGGGUUUGGAGACAAAAGAUUUAUACAGGUUCAGGCCUUCUUAUUCAAGAAGUAAUACCCUACUCCUGUCCGGGGAUGAAUCCGCCGAGUGUCUUAUUGAUUGUAUGAUUUGGAGAAAGUCAACAUAUGCCCCUAGAGGCACCCGGACCCUCCUUAUAUAUGGGAAGGAGUCCAUAUUACAAAAGAUAAUCUAUAUCCCUAACGGAAUAUGUAGAUACAGAUAAAAUACAGUC
rnacentral:lncRNA from 1 species